rnacentral:rRNA from 1 species
CCAGACUCCUACGGGAGGCAGCAGUGGGGAAUAUUGCACAAUGGGGGAAACCCUGAUGCAGCGACGCCGCGUGAGUGAAGAAGUAUUUCGGUACGUAAAGCUCUAUCAGCAGGGAAGAAAUAAAGUCCUUCGGACUUUGGACGGUACCUGACUAAGAAGCCCCGGCUAACUACGUGCCAGCAGCCGCGGUAAUACGGAGGAUGCGAGCGUUAUCCGGAUUUAUUGGGUUUAAAGGGUGCGCAGGCGGCUUUUUAAGUCGGGGGUAAAAGCCGGGGGCCCACCCCCGGCGAGCCGUUGAAACUGGCGGGCUGGAGUUGGAGAGAAGUACGCGGAAUGCGCGGUGUAGCGGUGAAAUGCUUAGAUAUCGCGCAGAACUCCGAUUGCGAAGGCAGCCUACCGGCUCCUGUCUGACGCUGAGGCACGAAAGCGUGGGUAUCGAACAGGAUUAGAUACCCCCGUA